AGUCACGACGUCUGACCUGCUGGACAAUGUUCUCGUUAUCGUCAAUGAAUUUGCUGAAGUCCACAGCUGGGGACCACAUAUCAUUUUGGCUGUACAGGCUGCUGCUGGGUUACUUCACCAUGCUCACCUGGCCCAGGACAUGGACUUCUCCUCCGGCUCAGUUUGUGGUAAGUGGUCUCCGGUGAAGCUGUACACCUGCAGCCUGUAGGAUCGAUGGUGGCCCCAGCGGUUGGUGCGGUUGCUCGCGAUAUGUAAGUAGCGUGGUGUUUUUACGUCAUGGCGCAUGGCAGCCUCCUUCUCUGUGUUUAUUUGCUUCUCCACAAGAUGGGGGAUUUUUGCUUUUUUCCCAGUGACCCACGGUAUCUCCACUUCCUUAAAUUCCAUAUCUUUUGUCUGAAAAAUGUUCUUUUCCCCUUAAACAACAUACAAUAUGCUAUGAAAUAUGCAGCUCUUCCAACAUUAAUAACUACAUAUAUAUACAGUACUGUGCAAAGAUGUUUAAAGCUGUUUAUCUGGGUAGCAAGUGUACUUAGAACAAAAAACACAAUUUAACAUUAGAACAUGUGCAAAUUAAGAGUAACGCGAUAAAAACUAGUAAUUUCUUCUGUUUUCUAAAAAGUUACUGAUAUCUAGUUGGAAGGCCUGAACACCGCUUCAGUUCCCAAACUUCUCAUCAGGGGUACCUCAGCCGCUCCAUGAUUUUGUUCAGUUUUACCAACAGCUCAAUUAAAUAAUUAAAUAUAUUGGUUUAAAAAGUCAGUGAGAGAUUGACUAGCUGUAUGAGGUGUGCUAGUGGCCAAGUCAAAAAUACAUGGCUGCACUGUACGGUCGCUGCAAAUACUAGGUUGAUUUUAGCAGAGGUUCUGAAAUGGCUAAGCUGACACACUUUGACAGGCAUAAUAUCAUAAUUUUACAGCAACACGAGGACAAUCUGAACAUUAUUUUCUUUGCCUGCCUAAGACUUUUGCACAGUACUGUAUGUAUGAUGUGUAAAAAUGUUUCACACUAUAAAUCAAAGUACUACGAUUGAGCAACAGUUCAGUAAUUGCUUUUCUAAUUUAAAUACCUGCAACCAUUUCAUACUUUAUGAUGACCAAAGCAAGCACCGCCACAUCUUUCCUAUACUCAUGUGUUAGAUUUAAACCUCUUUAAACCAUUAAAGAAAUAAUGGUUUCAAAUAAUAAAUAAUUAAAUCGCUAAAAGUAAAUGUCUAUCUUUUAAAUAAAUAAAUAUCUUACCCAAGACAUCCAGGUCAACUUUAAAGUUCACGAAGUGAGUGUGAAUAUUGCCAAUGGUGUGGUCUGCCACCUGGUGGCCAAACUGCAGAUUACCUUUUACUUUGUAAGAUGAAGAUAUAUAGCCAGUUGCGUGUACUUUAGCUUCAAUAGAUCCACUCUGGUAGAAAAUGAAGUCCCACAGGUAAUCAUAGUUGCCUAUGGAUGUGAUAGUCCUCAAAACCAAUGCAGUGUUUGGCAUGCCACCAUAACCGGAAUGGAAAAAAUCGGAAAAGUGCCUCCUGAGGGGGCGGCCGGUGUCAUGCUCGAAAAUGCAGAUGGAGUUUCGAAACCUUUGGGCAGCAUUGAAAUCGAGGUAACGGUAAGUGUCUACAUAGGUGGCGGUGUAUGGACAAUCAAUGCCGCGGACCAGUUCAUGCGCAAAACGACCGAUCCCAACGCUGGAGUCCAGGAAUUUUGUCAGCAUCAUCCCAGGGGUGAUGGAGCCGUACACUGACAUGGCCUCUUGAACACUGAUCUCGUAGGCAAUUCUUUCACCCUUAAAGCGCACAUCAAACACUCGCAUGCCAGUGAGGGAGCUGAGACCAAACGCAAAACUCCAGUUUAGGUACAAAACCUGAUUUUUAUGUAUACUAAAGCGUUGACCUUGGGGAUAAUAUUGCUGAGGGCUUAUUUCUACAGGUUUCACUCUAGGUUUCAAUGACGCAUAAUUUCCUAUAGGAGUAUAAACUAUUUUAAUAAUGUUUCCUGCUUCAUACUUGUUUUUAAGUUCUUCCACGGUAUCAAAAUACUGCCCGUUGUACAUCAGCUUAUCUACAGUCCAAUACUCACAGUUUGUGUUGCUGUGAUUAAUCAGGACCUCAAAUCCGACGGGGUGUAUGUACAUGCCACUAUAAUCUCGGAAGAAUGCGAUCCAGGUCCGCCUGUCGCCAGAUUUCACGCCUCUGGGCAGGCCCUCAAAUGGACGCAAAAUAUUUUCCUGCGACACAUUAAAACUUUCUAUGAGCAGUUUAAUUAGAUUUAUAAAUACCUUUUUAGCAAUGAAUUCAAAGAGUUGCAUAUAUUCCCCGGUCGUAACAGGUCUUGCGGUUAUCGGUGGUCGAGUUUUGUAUUUUUGCAAAGUUACAGUCUUAUGGUAUGUCGGCUGCGGUAGGGGACCCACGACAUACUCCUCAAUCUUUCCAAGAGAGCCAUACAAAACCACUACUGAGGCUUCCCUAACAGGCUUCUUUUCGUUCAUAUCCAAAUAACGAAGCACAUCCGAUUUCUUUGGAAGGCAGAGAUCUAUCAGAAAAAUGAAGUUUUCGGACGGAGAUGCAGUUGCCUUCUUGGAAAUGUUUAAAUCAGCCUGUUUCCACAUAUAAUCUCUGACCUGUUUGUAUUCCACAGCAGACAAAUCCGCAAAAACCAGACUGUGGUCGUUGUGCUCCAUGUGUUUUGCAGAUUUUGAAAUGCAUUUUGGCGUUUUUUGUAGGCUAAAGCAUAUGAAGAUUACAUUAAUAAUUAUAGAAACAAGUGCUAUAAAAAUAAGUGUGUAUUUCACGUAUGAAUUCAUUGUUUAAAGGUGGUAUCCUUCCUCCGAGAGGGGUAAGAAUGCAGUAAGGGUCUGAUAAAUUAAAUCCAGCAUAACUCCAGCCAAAAAAAAAACCGCACCCACCCCCUAGGCCACCCCCACUUUACUUUUGCUAGUAAAAGUAAUAUGUAUGGUAAGCAUGUGUAAAAUUUAGAAAACAUCACAAUUAACGUAAAAUGCGUAAAAGGAAUUUCAGACACUGCCCCGAAUAUGGAUUAAUAAUGAGUAAUUCUUUACUUACUGUUAUUCAGCCCUCAUGGGAAAUGCACGCAAAUACAGUUUUCCAAGCAAAGCAAACUCCGCAGCUCUGUUAGGCCUAGGCGAUGGCCGACUAUUAUUUAUAUGUAAGAAAUUGUAUAAAUUAGCAGACAUUUCAUCCCAGAAUCUAGCUAAAUAAAAUUUAUUAUGGGGCGGAAAACAUUAAGCCCUGAUACACAAGAAAAUAUUUUCUAACCAUAAUAUAUUAUUAUUAUUUAUAUAUGCCUUUUAUUUAUAUUACAUAAUAUAUAAAUAAGGUUAGCAGUUCUCUUUCCCUUUUCUGUCCCACACACGCAUACAGGUCCGAAUGAUUGAAUUUCGUUCCUGUUCAUGUGACCACCAUAUUGUUAAUGGGUCUUCGUCUGCCGGGAAAUCUUCGAGUUUCCCCAAAGCACUUAAUGACUUUAAGAUGUUGCAGUCAGGCACAGCUGCAUGUACUACAAGAACCAGGAUUUUUUUUUUUUUUACAAGCAGGAUAGUUGCUGGAAACAUACGAAAAAAAAGUCAAGGCUAGAACAUUUUCUAAAAAAAUGACACAUUCAACUAUAAAGACUUGGCACAAACUAAUUAAAACCACAGGCCAUGCUCUAUUGCUUAUGCGGAGGCAGUAAAGCCGGGGCGGCGAGCCACAUACCGAUGAAUUUGCAAAAAUUAAAAAAGUGAUAGUAUCCUCUGUUUCUCCAUCGCCUGCUGGUAUCACUUCACCAGCCUGCAGCACAGGACCCACCUGCACAACACAGUGAAAGUCUGCUCUAAGAUCAUCGGAAUCCCAGUCAUAGCACUCUCAUCCCUGAGUGAGCAGCAAACUCUGACAACAGGAUUCUGCAUCCCCUCCCCAUGCUCUGUUCUGAGUCUGAGUGGCUGCCCUCAGGACGACGGCUCCGCUGUCCCGGCUGCAAGACAAGAGAGCGACCUUUGUUCUCAGGGCCGUUCAACUCCUCAAUUCACAGACUUCUCUUCCCCCAGCCUCCCUGCACUGGAUCCCGUCAGUCAUUCGGCACUUGACCCCACUAACAAUCCCUCCCUUUACAUACAGUAUUUAUCAGUUCUUAUCUACCUGAUAGACUGCAAUUUUGCACAGCAUCUUUCAAAUACUGUUGCAAUUUAUCUCAUUGUGUCCUGUCCUUGUUCAACUGCCCUGUGUGCCUUUAAUUGCCCCUCGGGGACAAAUAAAGUUAUUUGAAUUGAA